rnacentral:misc_RNA from 1 species
CGACCCCUAAGCCUUAGUUGUUUAGUGUUGGGAGCUUGCACCCCCGUGGUUAGCCGCGGCGCAACUCCUUAAAUUUCGUGGCAGGGCUCGCGUCGCCUUGAAGUGUAGUAGAUAACUUCUCGCUUCUUAAAGGCGGUCGCGUAGCACAGCCAAGUGAAAACCUUUUAUAUACCUAGU